AGACAGUGGAAGACAAGAGCACAUGGCUGUAGGAGCAGAGAGGAAGACAAGAACACAUGGCUGUAGGAGCAGAGAGGAAGACAGUGGAAGACAAGAGCACAUGGCUGUAGGAGCAGAGAGGAAGACAGUGGAAGACAAGAC